rnacentral:rRNA from 1 species
GGGGAAUUUUGGACAAUGGGCGCAAGCCUGAUCCAGCAAUGCCGCGUGCAGGAAGAAGGCCUUCGGGUUGUAAACUGCUUUUGUCAGGGAAGAAAUCUUCUGGGCUAAUACCCCGGGAGGAUGACGGUACCUGAAGAAUAAGCACCGGCUAACUACGUGCCAGCAGCCGCGGUAAUACGUAGGGUGCGAGCGUUAAUCGGAAUUACUGGGCGUAAAGCGUGCGCAGGCGGCUUUGCAAGACAGAUGUGAAAUCCCCGGGCUCAACCUGGGAACUGCAUUUGUGACUGCAAGGCUAGAGUACGGCAGAGGGGGAUGGAAUUCCGCGUGUAGCAGUGAAAUGCGUAGAUAUGCGGAGGAACACCAAUGGCGAAGGCAAUCCCCUGGGCCUGUACUGACGCUCAUGCACGAAAGCGUGGGGAGCAAAC